rnacentral:rRNA from 1 species
CAAGUCGAGCGAACGGACGAGAAGCUUGCUUCUCUGAUGUUAGCGGCGGACGGGUGAGUAACACGUGGAUAACCUACCUAUAAGACUGGGAUAACUUCGGGAAACCGGAGCUAAUACCGGAUAAUAUUUUGAACCGCAUGAUUCAAAAGUGAAAGACGGUCUUGCUGUCACUUAUAGAUGGAUCCGCGCUGCAUUAGCUAGUUGGUAAGGUAACGGCUUACCAAGGCAACGAUGCAUAGCCGACCUGAGAGGGUGAUCGGCCACACUGGAACUGAGACACGGUCCAGACUCCUACGGGAGGCAGCAGUAGGGAAUCUUCCGCAAUGGGCGAAAGCCUGACGGAGCAACGCCGCGUGAGUGAUGAAGGUCUUCGGAUCGUAAAACUCUGUUAUUAGGGAAGAACAUAUGUGUAGGUAACUGUGCACAUCUUGACGGUACCUAAUCAGAAAGCCACGGCUAACUACGUGCCAGCAGCCGCGGUAAUACGUAGGUGGCAAGCGUUAUCCGGAAUUAUUGGGCGUAAAGCGCGCGUAGGCGGUUUUUUAAGUCUGAUGUGAAAGCCCACGGCUCAACCGUGGAGGGUCAUUGGAAACUGGAAAACUUGAGUGCAGAAGAGGAAAGUGGAAUUCCAUGUGUAGCGGUGAAAUGCGCAGAGAUAUGGAGGAACACCAGUGGCGAAGGCGACUUUCUGGUCUGUAACUGACGCUGAUGUGCGAAAGCGUGGGGAUCAAACAGGAUUA